rnacentral:rRNA from 1 species
AAUGCCUAGGAAAUUGCCCUGAUGUGGGGGAUAACCAUUGGAAACGAUGGCUAAUACCGCAUGAUGCCUACGGGCCAAAGAGGGGGACCUUCGGGCCUCUCGCGUCAGGAUAUGCCUAGGUGGGAUUAGCUAGUUGGUGAGGUAAGGGCUCACCAAGGCGACGAUCCCUAGCUGGUCUGAGAGGAUGAUCAGCCACACUGGAACUGAGACACGGUCCAGACUCCUACGGGAGGCAGCAGUGGGGAAUAUUGCACAAUGGGCGCAAGCCUGAUGCAGCCAUGCCGCG